rnacentral:lncRNA from 1 species
UACUGUCCUACAAACAUGUGCACUUGCAGGCCCAACAACGUCUACAAGAAGAAGGUUGUGUAGUAGACAUCAAGCUCUUUUCUAGCGCCGUUGCCGGGGAGGUGAGUGCUUGAAGGUAUAUCUUUAGAUCUUGCAAUCGAAUCUUUUUGUUUCUUGUUUUAUCACUAGCUUAUAAAACUAAAAAAUGGAAAUGAGUUUGUCUUAUACGCUUCGUCUUUUUAAUAUCUUUCAUGAGUUUUAUGAAAAGGAAAAUUGUGCUCAAGUGCUAGAAGAAGAAAUCUAAAGGAUGUUUGACACUAAAUCUUUGAAUGAUGAGCAUGAUUGCAAUGUUGUUAGUAUGAACUCUUUGAAUAUCCAUAGUACUAAUGAUGAUUGCUCUAGUCAUGAUGAAAAUAUCUCUCAUAAGCAUGUCAACUUUUGUGGAGUGCAUGUUUGCAUGAACACACCGAAUAGAGAAGAUGUAUAUUGCAAGAGGCAUAAGCAUUUAGAAACUAAAUUGUUGCAAGAAAAGUUAAAUGAGAGUGCUGAAAAUUUGCAUUUCCUUUGUCGUACUUGUGAACUAUGCAAUGAACGUGGUCAUCUACAUCUCCUAUGCAAAUUAUUUAAUGAUCGAAUCAUGUCCAAGAAUUGUGAUGAUUUGAUUUCCCUUGCACAUUAUAAUGAACUUAGUUUGCUUUUGGGUUAUGAAGAAUUGAAACGUUUAACUAAGGAUCUUCCAGAUUUUGCCCUUAAGAAAUUCCUUGAUAUUGAUCUAGAGAAGAUUUAUUUGUAUUGUACGGUGAAUUGCAUUGAAAAUCCUUAUAUUGCCAAUUACCUAAAGAAAAGAAAACAAAUAGAAGAUGAAGAGAAUACUAAUGAAAGGGAAGAGACUUCCCAUUAUCCUCCUAUUAUUUCUUAUGGUGAAUCAGGUAUCGAGGAGGAGCCUUCUAUUCAACCAAUCUCAUCAAUAAGGAGCUCAAAGAAGAGGGUUGAACCCAUACAUAAUGUGAAGAAGAAAAGAAAGAGAAGGGGCAGCAAAGGUAAAAAGGUAUCCCUCCCAAAUUAUGUUGCUCCUACUACUCAUUGUGAUGAUGAUAAUUGCUAUACUAUUGGUGCUAUCCAUACUAUUAAUGAUGAGAGUGAUUAUGCUUAUGAUAUGAAAAGGCCCAAGCUUGGGGAAGCUAUGUUUGAUGAGGAUGAAAUAUUUGAGAAUAUAUUUGCUGAAAUUAAUGUUUGUCCCAAGCUUGGGGAUGCUACGUUUAAUGAAGAUGAUAUUUUUAGCCUCCCAAGUUUUGAUAUGCAAAUUUGUUAUGAUGAAAGCAUGCCUCCUAUUUAUGAUGAUUAUAUUGAUGAAAGUGGGUUUGGAAGAGUGUCAACUUUAGGAAGUAGUGAUCCCACUAUUUUGUACGAUGUUGAAUCUUAUUGUGAUGAAUAUGAAAGUGGAUUUGGAAGAGUGUCAACUUUAUUUAGUGAUGAUUCCACUAUUUCAGAAGAGGUUCCAAUUGAUUAUGAGAACAAAGUUGCUAUCUAUGAUGAUUAUUGUGAUGACUUGUAUGCUAUUAGGAAUAAUGAUAACCAUGAAACUUGUCAUCAUGAUUUUAGUUUUCAAUUGGAUUAUGACUCACAUGAUAAUUAUUUUAUUGAGUUUGCUCCCACUACUAUUCAUGAGAAGAAAUUUGCUUAUGUGGAGAGCAAUAAAAUUUCUAUGCUAGUAGAUCAUGAAAAGAAUGCUUUAGGUGCUGGUUAUAUUGUUGAAUUCAUUCAUGAUGCUACUAAAAAUUAUUAUGAUGGAGGAACAUAUGCUUGUAGGAAUUGCAAUAAUAUCAAGUUUCCUCUCUAUGUGUUAAAUUUUUUGAAGCUAUGCUUGUUUUACCUUCCUAUGCUAGUUGAUUAUUGUUCCCAUAAGUUGUUUGAUCACAAAAUCCCUAUGCAUAGGAAGUGGGUUAUACUUAAAUGUGCUAGUCAUAUGCUUCAUGAUGCUCCCAUUAUGUUUCAAUUCUUAUCUUUUAUGUGAGCAUCAUUGCCAUCAUCAUGCCUAGCUAGAAAGGCAUUAAAGAAAAGCGCUUGUUGGGAGACAACCCAAUAUUUACCCCUACUGUUAUUGUGUAUCCACAUGAUCAUGCUACUGUAGUAAUCAUGUUUUAUAGCUUUUGUUUCAAUAAAGUGCCAAGUAGAACCUUUGGGAAGACUUGAGUGAAGUUUAUGUGAUCUUGCUGUAAAAAACAGAAACUUUAGCGCUCACGAGAAUAGCUGCCAUUUUUUACUGGAGAGUGAUUUUAGGUUUAUUAUUUUUUCAGAUGAUUAAUAGACAAAUUACUCAGGUCCAGCAAUUUAUUUAAUAAUUUUUGGGGUUCCAUAAAUAUACGUUUGAUACAGAUUACUACAGACUGUUCUGUUUUUGACAGAUUCUGUUUUCAUUGUGUUGUUUGCUUAUUUUGAUGAAUCUAUGGCUAGUAUGUAAGGGUAUGAACCAUAGAUAAGUUGGAAUACAGUAGGUUUAACAAAAAUAUGAAUAAAUAAUGAGUUCAUUACAGUACCUAAGUGGUGAUUUAUUUUCUUAUACUAACGGAGCUUACGAGUUCUGUCUUGAGUUUUGUGUGGUUGAAGUUUUCAAGUUUUGGGUAAAGAUUCGAUGGACUAUGGAAUAAGAAGUGGCAAGAGCCUAAGCUUGGGGAUGACCAAGGCACCCCAAGGUAAUAUUCAAGGAAAACCAAGAGCCUAAGCUUAGGGAUGCCCCGGAAGGCAUCCCCUCUUUCGUCUUCGUUCAUCGGUAACUUUACUUGGAGCUAUAUUUUUAUUCACCACAUGAUAUGUGUUUUGCUUGGAGCAUCAUUUUAUUUUAUUAGUAUUUGCUUUAUGUCAUUUAGAAUAAUGUUUUGCAUCUUUAUUUUCAAUAAAAAUGUCAAGUAUAGCCUUUACCAUGCUUAUUUUGCUAGAAUACAUGUUGCUGUUUGAAAACAGAAAGUUUACCGCUGUUGCAAAAAUUCCCUAGAACAGUCAGAGAAUGGUAUAAUGUUGAAACUUUUUUCAUAUUACGCUCUGAUAAAUAUAUUACAGUGGGAAUUUUCUCUCAUAUUUUUUGGAGUUAGGGAAGUAUUGAUACUCUUGCAUUCUUUACAGACUAUACUGUUUUGGCAGAUUGAUGUUAUGGUUGCAUUGUUUGCAUAUGUUUGCUUGUUUAAUGAUUCUAUUUGAGGAUAGGAGUAUUGAAUAUGCAGAGGCAUUUAGUAUGCAAUGUUGAAUAAUAAUUUAAGUGAUUUGUUACAGUAGAAAAUGAUAAGGUUUUGCAUUGGUUUAUACUAACCUAUCUCACGAGUUCUUGUUGAGUUUGUUGUGAAUGAAGCUUUUGAUAAAAAGAGAAACCAUGAUAUGAGAGGAAUUAAGGAGACACAAAAUUUCAAGCUUGGGGAUGCCCGAGGCACCCCAAGAUAAUAUUUCAAGAAGUAUCAAGCAUCUAAGCUUGGGGAUGCCUCGUUAGGCAUCUGUAGGAUCUUGAAGUAUGUCUAGAGGGGGGGUGAUUAGACUACUUGACCAAAUAAAGGCUAUGCCUUUUCCUAAUUUUAGUCUUUGGCAGAUUUUAGAAAACUUAGCACAAGUCAAGCAAUCUUAACACAAUUCAAGCAAGCAUGCAAAGAGUAUAUGAGCAGCGGAAAAUAAAGCAUGCAACUUGCAAGAAUGUAAAGGGAAGGGUUUCGAGAUUUCAAACGCAGUUUGGAGACACGGUGAUUUUUGAGCCGUGGUUCCGAUAGGUGGUGCUAUUGUACAUCCACGUUGAUGGAGACUUCAACCCACAAAGGGUAACGGCUGCGCGAGUCCACAUAGGGCUCCACCCAAGAAGGGUCCACGAAGAAGCAACCUUGUCUAUCCCACCAUGGCCGUCGCCCACGAAGGACUUGCCUCACUAGCGGUAGAUCUUCACGAAUUAGGCGAUCUCCUUGCCCUUACAAACUCCUUGGUUCAACUCCACAAUCUUGUCGGAGGCUCCCAAGUGACACCUAGCCAAUCUAGGAGACACCACUCUCCAAGAAGUAACAAAUGGUGUGUUGAUGAUGAACUCCUUGCUCUUGUGCUUCAAAUGAUAGUCUCCCCAACACUCAACUCUCUCUCAUAGGAUUUGGAUUUGGUGGAAAGAAAAUUUGAGUGGAAAGCAACUUGGGGAAGGCUAGAGAUCAAGAUUCAUAUGGUAGGAAUGGAAUAUCUUGGCCUCAACACAUGAGUAGGUGGUUCUCUCUUAGAAAUGGUAAGUUGGAAGUGUAGGUUUGUUCUAAUGGCUCUCUCCAUGAAUGAAGAGGAGGUGGAGGGGUAUAUAUAGCCUCCACACAAAAUCUAACCGUUACACACAAUUUACCAAUCUCGGUGGGACCGAAUCAACAAACUCGGUCAGACCAAUUUAGUAAACCUAGUGACCGUUAGGGUUUUCGGUGGGACCGACAUGCAACUCGGUAGGACCGAUAUGGUUAGGGUUAGGGCAUAACUUAAUCUCGGUGAGACCGAUUACACAAACUCGGUGAGACCGAUUUUGGUAAUAAGCUAAACAGAGAGUUGGUCAGGUAAACUCAGUGGGACCGAUUCGCUCAUUUCGGUGGGACCGAAAUGUUACGAAAAGGAAACAGAGAGUUUACAUUGCAAUCUCGGUGGGACCGAUCGCUCAUCUCGGUUAGACCGAAACAUUACGAAGGGAAACAGAGAGAUUACAAUCCCAUCUCGGUGAGACCGAGAUCCCUAUCGGUGAGACCGAUUUGCUUAGGGUUUGUGGCAGUGGCUAUGACAUCUGAACUCGGUGGCGCCGGAUAGAAAGAAUCGGUGGGGCCGAGUUUGACUUUUGGUUUAGGUCAUAUGUGGAUGUGGGAAAGUAGUUGAGGGUUUUGGAGCAUACCACUAAGCACUUAUGGAGCAAGAAACCCAUUAAGCAACACCUCAUCCCUCCUUGAUAGUAUUGGCUUUUCCUAUAAACUCAAUGUGAUCUUGGAUCACUAAAAUAUAAGAUGUAGAGUCUUGAGCUUGAAGCUUGAGCCAAUCCUUUUAUCCUUAGCAUUUUGAGGGAUCCACUUUUCUCAUCCAUGCCAUGCCAUCCAUUGAGCUUUCCUGAAAUAUUUGUCUUGGAAUAGUAUUAGCUCAAUGAGCUAUAUGUUGUUAGGAAUUACCAAAACCACCUAGGGAUAGUUGCACUUUCAGCAUCCCACCUUUCUUCUUCAACAACUAUCGGUUGGUACCGGUUGAGCAUAAGUUUUUGCUUCUUCACAUGAGUUGUGUUAUCCUUGCAAUGUCAUUUUAUUUUGUUUUGCUUGCGGCUUGAAUAAAAUACCAAGAUCUGAAAUUCUUAAAUGUUAGAGAGUCUUCACAUAGUUGCACAAUUAUUUGACUACUCAUUGAUCUUCACUUAUAUCUUUCGGAGUAGUUUGUCAUUUGCUCUAGUGCUUCACUUAUAUCUUUUAGAGCAUGGCAGUGGAUUAAUUUUGAAGAAAUUGCUAGCCUCUCAUGCUUCACUUAUAUUAUUUUGAGAGUCUUUUAGAACAGCAUGGUAUUUGCUAUGGUUACAAAUUUGGUCCUAGAAUGAUGAGCAUCCAAGUUGGGUAUAAUAAAAAUAUCAUAGGAAGUGAAUUGGAUGCUAUGAUCAAUUUGUUGCUUGAUAAUUGUUUUGAGAUAUUAAGGUAGUAAUGUUAGGGUCAUGCUAGUGGAUAAUUAUGAAAUUGAGAAAUACUUUUGUUGAAGUUGGUAAGUCCCGUAGCAUGCAUGUAUGGUAACAGUUGUGUGACAAAAUUGUUGCAUGAGGUGCUCUUUUGAUUGUCUUCCUUAUGAGUGGCAGUCGGGGACGAGCGAUGGUAUUUUCCUACCAAUCUAUCCCUCUUGGGGCGUGCGUAGUAGUACUUUGCUUCAAGGGCUAAGUAGACUUUUGCAAUAAGUAUAUGAGUUCUUUAUGACUAAUGCGAGUCCAUGGAUAUACGCACACUCGUCCUUCCACUUUGCUAGCCUCUCUUAUUACCGCGCAACUUUCGCCGGUAUUGAACCCAUUAUUUACCUUCCUCAAAACAGCCACCAUACCUACCUAUAUGGCAUUUCCAUAGCCAUUCCGAGAUAUAUUGCCAUGCAACUUUCCACCGUUCCAUUUAUUAUGACACGUUCCAUCACUGUCAUAUUGCUCUUUGCAUGAUCAUGUAGUUGACAUCGUAUUUGUGGCAAGGCAACCUUCAUAAUUUUCAUACAUGUCGCUCUUGAUUCAUUGCAUAUACCGGUACACCGCCGAAGGCAUUCAUAUAGAGUCAUAUCUUGUUCUAGCUUUGAGUUGUAAUUAUUGAGUUGUAAAUCCAUAAAAGUGUGAUGAUCUUCAUUAUUAGAGCAUUGUCUCAGUGAGGAAAGGAUGAUGAAGAUUAUGAUUCCCCCACAAGUCGGCAUGAGACUUCAGACUUUACAAAAAGAAAAGAAAAAGAAGAAAAAGAAAAAAAGGAGAAAGGCCAAAAAAAGAGAAGAAAGGCCAAAGAAAAAAAGAAAAAGAAAAAAGAAAAAAAAUAAAAUAAGAGAAAAAGAGAGAAGGGACAAUGCUACUAUCUCUUUUUCCACACUUGUGCUUCAAAGUAGCACCAUGAUCUUCAUGAUAGAGAGUCUACUAUGUUGUCACUUUCAUAUACUAGUGGGAAUCUUUCAUUAUAGAACUUGGCUUGUAUAUUCCAAUGAUGGGCUUCCUCAAAAUGCCCUAGGUCUUCGUGAGCAAGCGAGUUGGAUGCACACCCACUUAGUUCUUUUUGUUGAGCUUUCAUAUAUUUAUAGCUCUAGUGCAUCCGUUGCAUGGCAAUCCCUACUCACUCACAUUGAUAUCUACUGAUGGGCAUCUCCAUAGCCCGUUGAUACGCCUAGUUGAUGUGAGACUAUCUUCUCCCUCUUUUUGUCCUCACAACCACCAUCUUUUACCACCUUAGUGCUAUGUCCAUGGCUUACGCUCAUGUAUUGUGUAAGAGUUGAAAAAAAGCUGAAGCGCAUUAAAAAGUAUGAAACAAUUGCUCGGCUCGUCAUCGGGGUUGUGCAUGAUGAGAGUAUUUUGUGUAAUGAAAAUGAAGCAUGGCCUAACUAUAUGAUUUUGUAGGGAUAAGCUUUCUUUGGCUAUGCUAUUUUGAUAGGACAUGAUUAUUUGUUAGUAUGCUUUGAAGCAUUAUUAUUUUUAUGUUUUAUAAGCUUUUAUCUUGAAUCAUUUGGAUCUGAAUAUUCAUGCCACAAUAAAUAAAAUUACAUUGAGAAUUAUUCUAGGUAGCAUUCCACAUCAAAAAUUCUGUUUUUAUCAUUUACCUACUCGAGGACGGGCAGGAAUUAAGCUUGGGGAUGCUUGAUUCGUCUCCAACGUAUCUAUAAUUUUUGAUUGUUCCAUGCUAUUAUAUUACCCCUUUUGGAUGUUUAUGGGCUUUAUUUUACACUUUUAUAUCAUAUUUGGGACUAACCUAUUAACCGGAGGCCCAGCCCAUAUUGCUGUUUUAUUACUUGUUUCAGUAUUUCGAAGAAAAGGAAUAUCAAACGGAGUCCAAACGGAAUGAAACCUUCGGAAAAGUUAUUUUUGGAACAGAGCCAAUCCCAGGAACUUGGAGUGCAAGCCAAGGGAUCAUCGAGGAGGCCACGAGACAAGGGGCGCAUCCUACCCUCUCGUGGGCCCCUCGAGGCUCCCCCGACCGACUUCUUUCGCCUAUAUAAGCCUACGUACCCUAAAAACAUCGAAUAUCAAGAUAGAUUGGGAGUUCCGCCGCUGUAAGCCUAUGUAGCCACCAAAAACCUCUCGGGAGCCCGUUCCGGCACCCUGCCGGAGGGGGAACCCAUCACCGGUGGCCAUCUUCAUCAUCCCGGUGCUAUCCAUGACGAGGAGGGAGUAGUUCACCCUCGGGGCUGAGGGUAUGUACCAGUAGCUAUGUGUUUGAUCUCUCUCUCUCUCUCGUGUUCUCUCUAUGGAACGAUCUUGAUGUACCGCGAGCUUUGCUAUUAUAGUUGGAUCUUAUGAUGUUUCUCCCCCUCUACUCUUUUGUGAUGAAUUGAGUUUUCCUCUUAAAGUUAUCUUAUCGGAUUGAGUCUUUAAGGAUUUGAGAACACUUGAUGUAUGUCUUGCCGUGCUUAUCUGUGGUGACAAUGGGAUAUCAUGUGCCACUUGAUGUAUGUUUUGGUGACCAACUUGCGGGUUCCGCCCAUGAACCUAUGCAUAGGGGUUGGCACACGUUUUCGUCUUGACUCUCCGGUAGAAACUUUGGGGCACUCUUUGAAGUACUUUGUGUUGGUUGGAUGAAUCUGAGAUUGUGUGAUGCAUAUCGUAUAAUCAUGCCCACGGAUACUUGAGGUGACAAUGGAGUAUCUAGGUGACAUUAGGGUUUUGGUUGAUUUGUGUAUUAAGGUGUUAUUCUAGUAUGAACUCUAUGAUAGAUUGAGCGGAAAGAAUAGCUUCAUGUUAUUUUACUACGAACUCUUGAAUAGAUAGAACGGAAAGGAUAACUUUGAGGUGGUUUUGUACCCUACCAUAAUCUCUUCGUCUGUUCUCCACUAUUAGUGGCUUUGGAGUGACUCUUUGUUGCAUGUUGAGGGAUUGUCACAUGAUCUAUCUAUGUUAUUAUUGUUGAGAGAACUUGUACUAGUGAAAGUAUGAACCUUCGGCCUUGUUUCCUACCAUUGCAAUACUGUUUACGCUCACUUUUAUCAUUAGUUACCUUGCUGUUUUUAUAAUUCAGAUUACAAAUACUUUUAUCUACUAUCCAUAUUGCACUUGUAUCACCAUCUCUUCGCCGAACUAGUGCACCUAUACAAUUUACCAUUGUAUUGGGUGUGUUGGGGACACAAGAGACUCUUUGUUAUUUGGUUGCAGGGUUGUUUGAGAGACACCAUCUUCAUCCUACGCCUCCUACGGAUUGAUAAACCUUAGGUCAUCCACUUGAGGGAAAUUUGCUACUGUCCUACAAACCUGUGCACUUGCAGGCCCAACAACGUCUACAAGAAGAAGGUUGUGUAGUAGACAUCAUACACCUCUCAUAAUUUUCAUACAUGUCGCCCUUAAUUCAUUGCAUACCCUGAUACACCGCCGGAGGCAUUCAUAUAGAGUCAUAUCUUGUUCUAGUUUUGAGUUGUAAUUCUUGAGUUGUAAAUCAAUAGAAGUGUGAUGAUCUUCAUUAUUAGAGCAUUGUCCCAGUGAGGAAAGGAUGAUGAAGACUAUGAUUCCCCCACAAGUCGGGAUGAGACUUCGGACUUU